rnacentral:rRNA from 1 species
AACGAACGCUGGCGGCAUGCCUAACACAUGCGAGUCGAACGAGACCUUCGGGUCUAGGGGCGCACGGGUGCGUAACGCGGGGGAACCUGCCCUUAGGUUCGGAAUAACUCCCCGAAAGGGGUGCUAAUACCGGAUAAUGUCUUCGGACCAAAGAUUUAUCGCCGUUGGAUGGGCCCGGGUUGGAUUAGCUGGUUGGUAGGGUAAAAGCCGACCAAGGCGACGAUCCAUAGCUGGUCGGAGAGGAUGCUCCGCCACACUGGGACUGCGACCCGGCCCAGACUCCUACGGGAGGGAGCAGUGGGGAAUAUUGGACGCUGGGCGAAAGCCUGAUCCAGCAAUGCCGCGUGAGUGAUGAAGGCCUUAGGGUUGUAAAGCUGUUUUACCCGGGAUGAUAAUGACAGUACCGGGAGAAUAAGCACCGGCUAACUCCGUG